GAGAACUAACAUCUUUAAAAGUCGAAUGAUGGGGCAACGCCUUGAAAGGCUUUCUUUAAUACUCCGAUAGGCGUGUAUAUGAAUAAGCAUCGAAACGUCUAAAGCUCGGUGAAGUCGCGUGAGAACUACCCUAAGGAAAAAUCCUUGGGAAACCUAUCCAGAGGUGGAUGGUGUAGUCUAUAGUGCGGAAGUCUAAAAA
rfam:Desulfosporosinus sp. OL contig00266, whole genome shotgun sequence.